UACGUAGGGGGCAAGCGUUGACCGGAAUUAUUGGGCGUAGAGCGCGCGCAGGCGGUUCACUAAGUUUGGUGUUUAAGGCUGGGGCUCAACUCCAGUUCGCACUGAAAACUGGUGGACUUGAGUGCAGAAGAGGAAAGUGGAAUUCCACGUGUAGCGGUGAAAUGCGUAGAGAUGUGGAGGAACACCAGUGGCGAAGGCGACUUUCUGGGCUGUAACUGACGCUGAGGCGCGAAAGCGUGGGGAGCAAACAGG
rnacentral:misc_RNA from 1 species